rnacentral:tRNA from 1 species
GCGGAAGUAGUUCAGUGGUAGAACGCUACCUUGCCAUGGUGGAGGUCGCGGGUUCGAAUCCCGUCUUCCGCU